rnacentral:rRNA from 1 species
GACGAACGCUGGCGGCGUGCUUAACACAUGCAAGUCGAACGGAAAGGCCCUGCUUUUGUGGGGUGCUCGAGUGGCGAACGGGUGAGUAACACGUGAGUAACCUGUCCUUGACUUCGGGAUAACUCCAGGAAACUGGGGCUAAUACCGGAUAUGAGCUCCUGCUGCAUGGUGGGGGUUGGAAAGUUUCGGCGGUUGGGGAUGGACUCGCGGCUUAUCAGCUUGUUGGUGGGGUAGUGGCUUACCAAGGCAUUGACGGGUAGCCGGCCUGAGAGUGUGACCGGCCACAUUGGGACUGAGGUACGGCCCAGACUCCUACGGGAGGCAGCAGUGGAGAAUAUUGCAAGAUGGGCGGAAGCCUGAUGCAGCAACGCCGCGUGCUGGAUGACUGCCUUCGGGUUGUAAACCGCUUUCGCCUGUGACGAAGCGUGAGUGACGGUAAUGGGUAAAGAAGCACCGGCUAACUACGUG